GGCGAACGGGUGAGUAUCACGUGGGUAAUCUGCCCUCGGCACUGGGAUAGCCCGGGGAAACCCGGAUUAAUACCGGAUAGCCUCUCGAGCCUUCGGGCUCGUCAGAAAAGGUGGCUUCGGCUUCCGGCUGAGGAUGAGCCCGCGGCGGAUUAGCUUGUUGGUGGGGUAAUGGCCCACCAAGGCGACGAUCCGUAGCUGGUCUGAGAGGACGAUCAGCCACACUGGGACUGAGACACGGCCCAGACUCCUACGGGAGGCAGCAGUGGGGAAUCUUGCGCAAUGGGCGAAAGCCUGACGCAGCGACGCCGCGUGCGGGAAGAAGGCCUUCGGGUUGUAAACCGCUUUCAGGAGGGACGAAGCCACUCGGGUUAAUAGCCCAGAGGGUGACGGUACCUCCAGAAGAAGCCCCGGCUAACUACGUGCCAGCAGCCGCGGUAAUACGUAGGGGGCAAGCGCUGUCCGGAUUUAUUGGGCGUAAAGAGCGUGUAGGCGGCUAGGUAGGUCCGUUGUGAAAACUCGAGGCUCAACCUCGAGACGCCGGUGGAAACCAUCUAGCUAGAGUCCGGAAGAGGAGAGUGGAAUUCCUGGUGUAGCGGUGAAAUGCGCAGAUAUCAGGAAGAACACCCGUGGCGAAGGCGGCUCUCUGGGACGUGACUGACGCUGAGACGCGAAAGCGUGGGGAGCGAACAGGAUUAGAUACCCUGGUAGUCC
rnacentral:rRNA from 1 species